AGAUCACAAACGGUAGUAGCUAAGAUGGGAGACACAACAUACUCGUUAGGAACAAUUCAUUCCCCCUGCCAAACACAAACAUUUCCCCGGAAAGCCAACCAAGGGCGGCGGUGGGGGGAGGUGGGGGGAACCAUGAGAACCUGAAAUUUACAACCAAGGGAGAUCAGAGCGUGUCUUUCGGUAGACAGCUUCCAGUUGGGAACCGGGCUGGGAAAGUGAGAAACCACCAUCCAGCUGGAAGAGAGACUGAUGGGCUGGACUACCUCCUACGAUCCGCUCCGACACGGAGGGGUCUUCCUAAGUAAGUGGCAGAAACACGUUCAUCUAGAAAAACUACCAUUAAGAAGCCCGAUGUUGCACAAGAAGCUGGAACCUCCUCGUCUCGAUGACACAGGGAGUGUUGAGCAAGGAUUCUGCAGCGGGCACGCGGUCCCCGUUGUCAGGCUUCAAAUCCUGGCUCUGCCUCUGCCUCAAGCAAUUAACUUUAACCUCCUUGAGCCCGUUUCCUGCACGGCAGGAAGAGGAUAAGGUGAUGGGGCCAAGUGCUGUGAUGACAGAAAGACUAGAUACGGAUCUCUCGGUUCUGUUAUCUACCGCUUACUUAUGUAACCUAACCGUCCUGUGCCUCUGUGUUCUCCACUGUAAUGUGGAAAUCGUACAAUACCUACCCUGUGACAGGCUUGUGAAAAUAAAUAAGGAAAUAGGUUUGGGACCAGAGCCCAUUAGAUAGGCUGUAAAAUAGAAGAGGCUCCCACCAGAUGUCACGUCUCUUCCUUGUCCUUCCUCUGCCCGACUGCAUCCGAACGGGUACAGAUUCCUCUCCCUCUUUGGAACAGAACUUAUUUGAAGACUGUAAACUCUUGAACCACCUGUCCACCUGAUCACCUGAGGCCAAGCACAGAGCCUAGAACAGAGCACAGAGCCUAGAACAGAGGAGUCCUCAACAAAUACUUGCUGACUGAAUGUCUGAACGUAUUACUCACUGUCAGAAGGCAAAGCACCUCCUUACAAGGUAAUGUCGAAGCUACUAAAAAUUAAAAACUGGAAGUAAAUCAAUUACCCAUGA